rnacentral:rRNA from 1 species
CAAAAACAUAGCUAAAUGUCAUUAUAUUUGGUGUUUUCUGCUCAAUGAUAUAAUUAAAUAGCCGCAGUACCUUGACUGUGCAAAGGUAGCAUAAUCAAUUGGCUUAUAAUUGAAGUCUGGAAUGAAAGGAUAUACGGGUAAUUACUGUAUCUGAUAUUUAUACUGAAAUUGAUCUCCAAGUGCAAAUACUUGCAAUUAAUUGUUAGACGAGAAGACCCUAGAAAUUUGUGUAAAUGUUUAGUUGGGGCAACGUGGUAAGAAAUAACUUACAAUAAGGACAUGAAAAAAAUGAUUUGGAAGAAAAAAUUACUCUAGGGAUAACAGCAUAAUUUAUUAAAGUUUGUGACCUCGAUGUUGGAUUUGGGAAUUAUAGUCCAGAAGACUUUUAAUUUUGCUCUGUUCGAGCGUAGCAC